GUGGGGAAUAUUGCGCAAUGGAGGAAACUCUGACGCAGCAACGCCGCGUGAAGGAAGAAGGCCUUCGGGUUGUAAACUUCUUUGAUCGGGGACGAAAAUGACGGUACCCGAGGAACAAGCCACGGCUAACUACGUGCCAGCAGCCGCGGUAAUACGUAGGUGGCAAGCGUUGUCCGGAAUUACUGGGUGUAAAGGGCGUGUAGGCGGGGGAGCAAGUCAGAUGUGAAAGCCCAUGGCUUAACUGUGGAACUGCAUCUGAAACUGUUCUUCUUGAGUGCUGGAGAGGAAAGUGGAAUUCCUAGUGUAGCGGUGAAAUGCGUAGAGAUUAGGAGGAACACCAGUGGCGAAGGCGGCUUUCUGGACAGUAACUGACGCUGAGGCGCGAAAGCGUGGGGAGCAAACAGGAUUAGAAACCCUAGUAGUCC
rnacentral:rRNA from 1 species